rnacentral:rRNA from 1 species
UACGUAGGGGGCACGCGUUGUCCGGAAUCAUUGGGCGUAAAGAGCGUGUAGGCGGCUCGGUAAGUCCGCUGUGAAAGUCCAGGGCUCAACCCUGGAAUGCCGGUGGAAACUGUCGAGCUAGAGUCCGGAAGAGGCGAGUGGAAUUCCUGGUGUAGCGGUGAAAUGCGCAGAUAUCAGGAGGAACACCAAUGGCGAAGGCAGCUCGCUGGGACGGGACUGACGCUGAGACGCGAAAGCGUGGGGAGCAAACAGG